UACGUAGGGAGCAAGCGUUGUCCGGAAUCAUUGGGCGUAAAGCGCGCGUAGGUGGCCUCAUAAGUCCGCUGUGAAAGUCAAAGGCUCAACCUUUGAAAGCCGGUGGAUACUGUGAGGCUAGAGUACGGAAGAGGCGAGUGGAAUUCCUGGUGUAGCGGUGGAAUGCGCAGAUAUCAGGAGGAACACCCGUGGCGAAAGCGGCAUCCUGGACCAACACUGACGCUGAGUGAGCGAAAGCCAGGGGAGCAAACGGG
rnacentral:rRNA from 1 species